CAACCACCGCCAUCCUGAGCACAAGUCGCCUCUUUUCCCAGGUGUCACCUCAUCCCUGGCUUCCAAUCUCUCCCUCCCCACUACCAGCCUCUCAUCUCUGAACAUCCCUGGGACCACCAGGUCCAGGGGGAGCCACUGCCAUGGGAACAGGACCUGUGGCACACAAGAGGGGUCGUGCCCGAGCCUGCCCGACGCCACAUGGAAUCACAUCCGGGGCUGCAUUCCCUCCCUGUCCAGCCUCUCCCUGCUCUCCCACGGGUAAAGAGAGUCCAAGCUGCUCUCCAAAGAGUAACUUUUUGAAAGGAAGUACGAGCAUAAAUCAGCAGCUCUGAUUCAGCCCCGCUUCGGUUACUAAUAAUAUUCCCGUGUUUAUUCGCAGGCUCGGGGCUGGAGAUGUUUGCUUUUCCCUCGGCCGUGGUUUUCCCAGGCUCCCAGCUCACAGAGGAGCAUUGAUUUGGAUCUGCCAGGAUCUGGGAUGUGCUGCCAACGAUCCCUGAGGGAUGAAAAGCCUGGUGCCCAUCAUGAGGCACAGGGUGAAGGAGUUCCUCUGCACCCAGGAUGAACAGGAUGGCUCCAGCCCCAUGGAGAAUUGCUGGAAAGUACCCAGGACAAACAGUGCUGCCCCCAAGGGAGAACAACACGUUACAUCUCAGGGCAGGAUGUGCUGGAUGCACCUCUGCCAAAGCCACCACCAAACCACGGCAGCUGGCAAAAUAUCCUGGGGGAAUGAUGCUGCAGGGAUGCUCAACCCCAAGAGAGUAUCUUGAAGGGAGGCUGCUGUAACAAACAAGAGCUCAUCCCCUGGGAACCACUGGAAAGGGCCAGGAGGGCUCUUGGCCAUCCAGCAGUGCCUCUGCAGAUGGGAAUUUGUCCACAACAAGGGACACGUGACAGACCCCCAAGGCCACCAGUGCUCUGACGGGUGGCACACCCCAGGAAACAAAGGU